CAGGAAUUUGUUGGAAGAAAAUAAUGCAAUUUAUUGGCUUGCUCAGUUUCCUAAAAAUGUUACUAUGCCUGCCUCAUGGAUUGACCUUGGUAUUGCCAUUGGAGCUUCACCUUCUCCCUCCAUCAGGAAACUUAAGACCAACUCCAUUUGAUCUGAUCAGAGGACGUCUAUAAGGACCAACACAGUGUCACAUUCAAAAGCAUCUUUCUCCCCCUCCAAUCAACCAGUGUCCUGGGGCCUUCUUACCUCUGGGUAAGUUCUUUGCUAUCUUGGGCUCUCCUAGAGGUGGACAAUGAUCUUCCUUUUGGUUGAGAGUCCUAAUUGAGGAGCCUUAAG
rnacentral:lncRNA from 1 species